AGAGUUUGAUCCUGGCUCAGGACGAACGCUGGCGGCACGCUUAACACAUGCAAGUCGAACGAGAGAAGAGAAGCUUGCUUUUCUGAUCUAGUGGCGGACGGGUGAGUAACACGUGAGCAAUCUGCCUUUCAGAGGGGGAUACCGAUUGGAAACGAUCGUUAAUACCGCAUAACAUAAUUGAACCGCAUGAUUUGAUUAUCAAAGAUUUAUCGCUGAAAGAUGAGCUCGCGUCUGAUUAGCUAGUUGGUAAGGUAACGGCUUACCAAGGCGACGAUCAGUAGCCGGACUGAGAGGUUGAUCGGCCACAUUGGGACUGAGACACGGCCCAGACUCCUACGGGAGGCAGCAGUGGGGAAUAUUGCACAAUGGAGGAAACUCUGAUGCAGCGAUGCCGCGUGAGGGAAGAAGGUUUUAGGAUUGUAAACCUCUGUCUUUGGGGACGAAAAAUGACGGUACCCAAGGAGGAAGCUCCGGCUAACUACGUGCCAGCAGCCGCGGUAAUACGUAGGGAGCGAGCGUUGUCCGGAAUUACUGGGUGUAAAGGGAGCGUAGGCGGGAUCGCAAGUCAGAUGUGAAAACUAUGGGCUUAACCCAUAAACUGCAUUUGAAACUGUGGUUCUUGAGUGAAGUAGAGGUAAGCGGAAUUCCUAGUGUAGCGGUGAAAUGCGUAGAUAUUAGGAGGAACAUCAGUGGCGAAGGCGGCUUACUGGGCUUUAACUGACGCUGAGGCUCGAAAGCGUGGGGAGCAAACAGGAUUAGAUACCCUGGUAGUCCACGCCGUAAACGAUGAUUACUAGGUGUGGGGGGACUGACCCCUUCCGUGCCGCAGCAAACGCAAUAAGUAAUCCACCUGGGGAGUACGACCGCAAGGUUGAAACUCAAAGGAAU
rnacentral:rRNA from 1 species